CCUCAACAAAAAGAGCUGCAGUCCUCGCAGCUCCUCUCUUCUUCCUGUACUCUCUCUUCUCCAGGGUCUGCCUUCUCGCAGCCUCAUAUCAGCGGAACAAGCUGUUUACACAUUCAGAAGACAUGGAGCAAUGUUGAAUUUCAUUUGGAGUCGAAUUUACCCACCGCCUGGACCUGACACUUGCCUCAUUCCCAUUCCUGUAUGCUUUGGGCUUUCUCCCUGGAUCUCUGGACUCACACUCUGGACCUGGGCUCUCUCCCUGGAUCUGGACUUACUCUGACCAGCUUCUACGCCUGUUCCCCAGCCUCGCCCGCUCUAACCUCUGGCUCACGGCUCAGCCCCGGCUCUUCCCUACCCAGAGACUCUGCUUCCCUUUAAUUCACUGAGGUAUUGUGUUAAUAAAAUGUCCUUUUGCAUCAGUUCCCUGCCUCUGUGUUGUGUGUUCCACAUUUGGGUUCAGUUUUUCAAGUCCCUGUGAAACAAUGCUGUAUUAGUUGUAUUCCACUAUGACACACUACACGAGAAAAACAGUUAAAAUUUUUUGUUUGUCACCCCGUGGCUGACAUUGUGUAGUCUGAACCCAGUAUAAGAACUGAAGGGUGGGGAAACAUUGUGGUCAUGGUUAAAGACACCAUUGUUGACAGUUAGUGAAACAGGAUAUGAACUAUGGUCUCCCACUACGAUUAUCUACGUCACUCGCUAGGUAAGCCCAACCAUGCUCCCCAUCCUCCGCUCUUUUAGGUUUUGCAGUGAUAUGAUGAUGUCAUGCUAUUUCCACCUUUUUGAUUCUGUGAGAAAACAGCUAUCAUUUGUAAAGACCACAAGAGGGCGCUUGCCAGGAAAAUGUUAAAACCGGUUGUUUUAAGUGUUAAAACAAACGACCAAUGCGUUGUUCUGGUGAGAACAGUCUUCUGUUUGCAACUGCAGUAUAACAUGAUGCCAACAUAAGUUUCACACGCCAAAAAGAAAUCAAAUCUUUUCUUACCGUAGUGUACUGAAAUUAAGUAAAAUCCAUCAUAACUAAAGCUCCCGUACGGCCCUUUAAGUUUGUGAUUGUUAUAAUGUUGUGUCUCACACUUCUGAGUUUCUCUACAUUGUGCUGAUGUGUUCCACAUGUAGCAACAUACUUAACUAAUUAAAUAGCUUCAAAUUCUGCUAUCUGGGAUUUUCAUGCCUUACUAUUAUUUCUCAUGUCAUUCAUGCCGGCUUAGAUUUCCACUAAUGUGCAAUUCUCUCAGGCCCUUAAAAAUGAACAAACACUCAAUAUUACAUUACUGCUCUCAUUCUUCGGUAUGUCUCACUCCCUGUCUUCCCAUUAAUCUCUCUAUCUGUACCUCUCUCUGUCUCUUUUUCUCUUGCUGGUUUCCUGCCCCCCCCCAUCCUUUGAGUGUUUUUAUAUCCUACUUCAAUUCUCUUUCUUUUCUUUGUGUUUUGUCACUUACUCUCAGUCUCUCUGCUUUUUUCUCCUCCUCUCCCUCACUUAUCUCUUUUCUUUGUCUCGCUGUGGUCACGCCUUCCUUUCCUCACGCCAACCUGUCUUCCUCUCUACCCCCAUGUCUGUCUCUCAAUUUCACCCUUCUCCUGUAUCUCUCACUCUGUUUAUCUCUUUCUAUCAUUUUCCUGACCCAACCCCAUCAUCUGUGGCCAUGACCAUGAGCCCACUGAAAUAAGUCAGCGGACAGAAACCAUUAGAUAUAAUUCUGAAAUCGCCCAUUUAUCCACAGAAGGAUUUCUUUUUCCUCUCCCCUCUUUCCCACAUUUGUACUUCCACACACACACACAUGCACUGGAGAUUAGAUAAAAGCUCACAUUCAGUAGCUGAGUGUUUACAAUUAUUGAUAAGAGGCCUAUGGUGUACACAGUGAUGGAGUCUGGUGAUGGUGUCACAGUGAUCUAAUGGAUAGAGAAACACGUUUUUGACUGGAAGUACACUGAGGUCUUUGAAAUGGUAAUAAUGAAGGUUUUCUGCUCUGCUAGCACAUACAGGCUGUAAUAUAUCUGCAGACUAGUUGUUGGUCAGCAGCAGUGACUCACUCACUUCCAGGUGCUGAGAUUUCUGUUUUUCAAACCUUACUUCUCUCUUUUUUUCCCUCACUGUUUUGGAAUAAAAAGACAAAAGUCAACAGUAAAAACAAUGCACACUGGCGCUGUAAUGUUCUGUUAUGGUUUAGAUCAAAUCCAGAUUGUUAGCCACAGCCAUGCCACUUACCACCAAAUUCUGAAUCCAAUUUUCUUAAAUUGCAUCUGAUUUAAGCGGCACUUUGUUCCUUGGUGAACUUUUAAAAUGAUACCAGUCCAGUCCUAUCCUAUCCUGUAACUGUUUUGUUGACAAAAUUGUAUGUGUAUGGUAACUUUUGUUCUUCUGCCAGCUGUUUGGUGCCACCAGAUUCUGUUACUGUACUUCAGGCUAUGAAGGCAGAUGUUUUCUAAUUAGAAUCAUCUCUGUUUUCUGUCCCGGAAUGCAGUGGAAACAAUCACCCAGUCAUAUACACCCAUGGUCACGCACAUUUUGAGGCCAAUACCAGUAUAGAUAUUUGGGAG